UUGCUGUACAAUCUUUUCCUUUACUGUAGGGCUUAGGCAGGCUUUGUUUCUGUACAGGGCACCUAAUUUUGGAUAAAGUUUAGAUGCAAGCUUUUCUAUGUGCAGGCCAAAAGAUAGAUUGGGGUCUAAUAUCAUACCUAAGUAUUUGAAAGAGUGGACUGCGGUCAGUGUGCCAUUUGAAUUUGUUUUGAUGGAUAGGUGGG